GCUGGGUGUGGCAGCGGGCACCUGUAAUCCCAGCUACUUGGGAGGCUGAGGCAGGAGACUUGCUUGAAUCCAGGAGGUGGAGGUUGCGGUGAGCUGAGAUGGCGCCACUGCACUCCAGCCUGGGUGACAGAGCAAGACUCCGUCUCAG
ensembl:misc_RNA Metazoa_SRP Metazoan signal recognition particle RNA